rnacentral:RNase_P_RNA from 1 species
AGCUGGUCGGAUAGUUACUCUUGAUUUGCAGAUUGUAAAAUUAAGAGAGGAAAGUCCGGGCACCACAGAACAGGAUACCCUCUAGCAGAGGGGGCUACCUAGCGUAGCAUGGACAGUGCAGCAGAAAAUAUACCGCCUAUUUAGGUAAGGGUGAAAAAGAGGUGUAAGAGACCCCUCAUUUUUAUUGAAAAAUAAAUUUGUGUAAACCCUAUCCGGUGCAAGAUCAAGUAAACCCCAAAAUGCUGUUCGCAUUGAUUGAGGGGAGGGUUGAUCGCUUGAGCUCAUCAGAAAUGAUUAGCCUAGAUGAAUAGCUAUCGAUAACAGAACUCGGCUUAUAGACCAGCUCAA